UUUAUGGAGAGUUUGAUCCUGGCUCAGAGUGAACGCUGGCGGCGUGCCUAAUACAUGCAAGUCGAACGAUGAAGCUUUCUAGCUUGCUAGAAAGCUGAUUAGUGGCGCACGGGUGAGUAACGCAUAGGUCAUGUGCCUCUUAGUUUGGGAUAGCCAUUGGAAACGAUGAUUAAUACCAGAUACUCCCUACGGGGGAAAGAUUUAUCGCUAAGAGAUCAGCCUAUGUCCUAUCAGCUUGUUGGUAAGGUAAUGGCUUACCAAGGCUAUGACGGGUAUCCGGCCUGAGAGGGUGAACGGACACACUGGAACUGAGACACGGUCCAGACUCCUACGGGAGGCAGCAGUAGGGAAUAUUGCUCAAUGGGGGAAACCCUGAAGCAGCAACGCCGCGUGGAGGAUGAAGGUUUUAGGAUUGUAAACUCCUUUUGUUAGAGAAGAUAAUGACGGUAUCUAACGAAUAAGCACCGGCUAACUCCGUGCCAGCAGCCGCGGUAAUACGGAGGGUGCAAGCGUUACUCGGAAUCACUGGGCGUAAAGAGCGCGUAGGCGGGAUAGUCAGUCAGGUGUGAAAUCCUAUGGCUUAACCAUAGAACUGCAUUUGAAACUACUAUUCUAGAGUGUGGGAGAGGUAGGUGGAAUUCUUGGUGUAGGGGUAAAAUCCGUAGAGAUCAAGAGGAAUACUCAUUGCGAAGGCGACCUGCUGGAACAUUACUGACGCUGAUUGCGCGAAAGCGUGGGGAGCAAACAGGAUUAGAUACCCUGGUAGUCCACGCCCUAAACGAUGGAUGCUAGUUGUUGGAGGGCUUAGUCUCUCCAGUAAUGCAGCUAACGCAUUAAGCAUCCCGCCUGGGGAGUACGGUCGCAAGAUUAAAACUCAAAGGAAUAGACGGGGACCCGCACAAGCGGUGGAGCAUGUGGUUUAAUUCGAAGAUACACGAAGAACCUUACCUAGGCUUGACAUUGAGAGAAUCCGCUAGAAAUAGUGGAGUGUCUGGCUUGCCAGACCUUGAAAACAGGUGCUGCACGGCUGUCGUCAGCUCGUGUCGUGAGAUGUUGGGUUAAGUCCCGCAACGAGCGCAACCCCCUUUCUUAGUUGCUAACAGGUUAUGCUGAGAACUCUAAGGAUACUGCCUCCGUAAGGAGGAGGAAGGUGGGGACGACGUCAAGUCAUCAUGGCCCUUACGCCUAGGGCUACACACGUGCUACAAUGGGGUGCACAAAGAGAAGCAAUACUGCGAAGUGGAGCCAAUCUUCAAAACACCUCUCAGUUCGGAUUGUAGGCUGCAACUCGCCUGCAUGAAGCUGGAAUCGCUAGUAAUCGCAAAUCAGCCAUGUUGCGGUGAAUACGUUCCCGGGUCUUGUACUCACCGCCCGUCACACCAUGGGAGUUGUGUUUGCCUUAAGUCAGGAUGCUAAAUUGGCUACUGCCCACGGCACACACAGCGACUGGGGUGAAGUCGUAACAAGGUAACCGUAGGUGAACCUGCGGUUGGAUCACCUCCUUUCUA
rnacentral:rRNA from 1 species